rnacentral:rRNA from 1 species
UACGGGGGGGGCAAGCGUUGUUCGGAAUCAUUGGGCGUAAAGGGCGCGUAGGCGGUGCGGUAAGUCUUCUGUGAAACCUCUGGGCUCAACCCAGAGCCUGCAGGAGAGACUGCCGUGCUGGAGUAUGGGAGAGGUGCGUGGAAUUCCCGGUGUAGCGGUGAAAUGCGUAGAGAUCGGGAGGAACACCUGCGGCGAAGGCGGCGCACUGGACCAUUACUGACGCUGAGACACGAAAGCGUGGGUAGCAAACAGG